GGGGAGUAGUUGAGUGUGCUAAUUCCCCUAAGUGUGGGUGCUAUUUUCACUCCUAGAUACGUUAUGUGGGUAUUUCUCCAGUCAAAUUUAUGUUUGUGCUUCAGUGAUCGUACCAUCUCCGUCUGCAGCCUAAUUGGUAGGGCCUGGGUCUUCGCUUGAUUAAGUCUAUAGUAUGAGAUUGUACUAUAUUCCCGGAGCACACCCAAAAGCUCGGUCAGGGAGUCACCUGGAUCUGCCAGGGUUAUACAAAUGUCGUCAGCGAACAUAGC